CCUACGGUGCGCAGCAGUGAGGAAUAUUGGUCAAUGGGCGAGAGCCUGAACCCGCCAAGUCGCGUGAAGGAUGACUGCCCUACGGGUUGUAAACUUCUUAUAUAAAGGAAUAACGUGCGGCACGUGUGCCUUUUUGUAUGUACUUUAUGAAUAAGGAUCGGCUAACUCCGUGCCAGCGGCCGCGGUAAUACGGAGGAUCCGAGCGUUAUCCGGGUUUAUUGGGUUUAAAGGUUGCGUAGGUGGGUUGUGAAGUCAGUUGUGAAAGUUUGCGGAUCAACCGUAAACUGGCAAUUGAUACUGGGAGUCUGGAGUACAGGUGAGGUAGGCGGAAUUCGUGGUGUAGCGGGGAAAUGCAUAGAUAUCACGAAGAACUCCGAUUGCGAAGGCAGCUUACUAAACUGCCACUGACAUUGAUGCUCGAAAGUGUGGGUAUCAAACAGGAUUAGAUACCCGGGUAGUC
rnacentral:rRNA from 1 species